rnacentral:lncRNA from 1 species
UUGAUAAAACGCUUGUUGCCUCGAACUCAAUUUGCAAUGAACAGUAAUUUCGGUUUUUCCGGUUAACUCGGAAACCACAUCUUUCUUAACACGCCGCAGCAUGAAAGGCUUCAAAAUGGCAUGCUGUCUACUAAGUUGGUGCUCAUUUAACGUUCCACCAUGUUCCGCAUGGUUUUCAAUACUGGUCAUACAUGGCGAGACAUAA